rnacentral:rRNA from 1 species
GACGAACGCUGGCGGCGUGCUUAACACAUGCAAGUCGAACGGAAAGGCCCUGCUUGCAGGGUACUCGAGUGGCGAACGGGUGAGUAACACGUGGGUGAUCUGCCCUGCACUUCGGGAUAAGCCUGGGAAACUGGGUCUAAUACCGGAUAGGAGCCAUUUUUAGUGUGAUGGUUGGAAAGUUUUUUUCGGUGUAGGAUGAGCUCGCGGCCUAUCAGCUUGUUGGUGGGGUAAUGGCCUACCAAGGCGGCGAGGGGUAGCCGGCCUGAGGGGGUGGACGGCCAUAGGGGGACGGACGGGCGGCCGGGACCCCGAGGGGGGGAGGAGGGGGGAAAGCCUGAUCAAGGGGCGCAGCCUGGAUGAAGAGGGGCGGGGGGGGGGAUAGCGCCUUUGGGGUGGAAAACCCUUUGCGCGAGAAACACCGCUUUUUGUGACGUUACCUAAAGAAGAAGCCCCGGCUAACUCCGUG